CCUACGGGAGGCAGCAGUGGGGAAUAUUGGGCAAUGGGCGCAAGCCUGACCCAGCAACGCCGCGUGAAGGACGAAGGCUUUCGGGUUGUAAACUUCUUUUCUCAGGGACGAAAAAAGUGACGCUACCUGCGGAAUAAGCCACGGCUAACUACGUGCCAGCAGCCGCGGUAAUACGUAGGGGGCAAGCGUUAUCCGGAUUUAUUGGGUGUAAAGGGCGAGUAGGCGGGAGUGCAAGUCAGAUGGGAAAACUCAGGGCUCAACCCUGGGCCUGCAUUUGAAACUGUGUUUCUUGAGUGCUGGAGAGGCAAUCGGAAUGCCGAGUGUAGCGGUGAAAUGCGUAGAUAUACGGAGGAACACCAGUGGCGAAGGCGGAUUGCUGGACAGUAACUGACGCUGAGGCGCGAAAGCGUGGGGAGCAAACAGGAUUAGAUACCCUUGUAGUC
rnacentral:rRNA from 1 species